rnacentral:rRNA from 1 species
CCUACGGGAGGCAGCAGUGAGGAAUAUUGGUCAAUGGCCGCAGGGCUGAACCAGCCAAGUCGCGUGAGGGAUGACGGUCCUAUGGAUUGUAAACCUCUUUUGUCAGGGAGCAAAGUGCGCCACGUGUGGCGCUUUGCGAGUACCUGAAGAAAAAGCAUCGGCUAACUCCGUGCCAGCAGCCGCGGUAAUACGGAGGAUGCGAGCGUUAUCCGGAUUUAUUGGGUUUAAAGGGUGCGCAGGCGGAAUGUCAAGUCAGCGGUAAAAUUUCGGGGCUCAACCCCGUCGUGCCGUUGAAACUGGCGUUCUUGAGUGAGCGAGAAGUAUGCGGAAUGCGUGGUGUAGCGGUGAAAUGCAUAGAUAUCACGCAGAACUCCGAUUGCGAAGGCAGCAUACCGGCGCUCAACUGACGCUCAUGCACGAAAGCGUGGGUAUCGAACAGGAUUAGAUACCCCAGUAGUC